rnacentral:rRNA from 1 species
UUUAACUGAAGAGUUUGAUCAUGGCUCAGAUUGAACGCUGGCGGCAGGCUUAACACAUGCAAGUCGAGCGGGGGAAGGUAGCUUGCUACCGGACCUAGCGGCGGACGGGUGAGUAAUGCUUAGGAAUCUGCCUAUUAGUGGGGGACAACAUCUCGAAAGGGAUGCUAAUACCGCAUACGUCCUACGGGAGAAAGCAGGGGAUCUUCGGACCUUGCGCUAAUAGAUGAGCCUAAGUCGGAUUAGCUAGUUGGUGGGGUAAAGGCCUACCAAGGCGACGAUCUGUAGCGGGUCUGAGAGGAUGAUCCGCCACACUGGGACUGAGACACGGCCCAGACUCCUACGGGA